ensembl:lncRNA
CUUUUCCAUCCUAGAUUUGUUGCUACUUGUUGACUGACCUGAUGAAUUUUUUAAGCUCCUGGGGAGGCGCAUCAGUUACCACUGAAUCUAUCGCAGAUCUUCAUCUCUGUCUGAUGACAACUUAAUUGCAUUUGUCCUCUUAGAGAAAGAAAAUUAACAAAGUGGUUUUUGUAGCUAAGUGUUCUAUGUCUAUUUAGUUUACUUUGUAUGGUUAUUUUACCUCCAUAUACACCAUUCUGGGCAAAGCUAACAAAGGAAACUCAACACUCUGUCUGUGAUUAAUAAAACAUCGUCUCGAGGCCCAAAGGGCCAGCCACCCGAAUGCUUUCAGCUGUAUAAGUGGUGAAAGGCGACAUAAUCUCCUCGGGACAAGAUUUGGGCUGAGAUUGAAAGACGCUGUGGGAGAGGUCCGGUAUAAGUGGUGGAAAGAGGACUCUUCAUGCUGCACUCGAAUGGACGGAUAGUCUGGAAGCAUGGAGAGCGGACGGAGCUUGGCGCAGGUCAUCUCUGAAAUGCAGAAUGAGAUCAGAAAGCUGGAGAGCGAAAACAAAGCACUCCGUGGGCAGCUUGACCGGCCGGCUUCAGCCUUGGACUCGGUGAAGCAGAAAGACGGGUCACAGGACACCUCAACCCAUGCCAGCCUGAGACGAAACGUGUCCGCACCACAACUUGAAGCACAGUACAAAGAAAACAUUAUUAUGACCGUGCGAAGAUACUCCGUAUCGUCAAACUCUGAGAAUGAGAUUUUGCACAAGCCGAGACGAUAUGAGGAGACUGUGAACAACAACAAAUGGGCAAAACUACAUGAUGGUUCACACAGCCGUCCUUCUAGUGCCUAUUCUAAACCAGACAUGGAGAAAUUAACCAACAGACAUUCCCUUCAGGAGUAUGUCAACAAAAACAGGUGAGUUUGGCUUUAGUCGGUAUGAAAUAUUAACCAGCACUUAGUAACUUUAAUGCUAAUUGUUAUCUGACAUUAUAGAGCCAAAGUCAAGACGGUAACUUUCCUGUUGCCAGUGGAUGACAUUUACACCAAUCGACCUGUACUAGCUGAACACCUGUCAGAAAGAAGCACCUGUGAACUCCAAGCGAUAGCGGAAACAGACUCGUGAAGCCCAAACUAAUGGCGGGAAAAACAGAAACACCCAAAAAACUGAUGCUUGUGAAGCUGACAAAGAAGAAGUGCAGUAAUGCGGUCAAAAUCUAUCCCAAUGCAUCCUGCGGUGAAUUAAUACCCACACCUGACCUCAACGCUUUGACUCCUGUUACAGAUUUGGUUUCUCAAAUUCAUCCAGCUAAAGAAACUCAAGUCAUCCCAUGGUCUCGUCCGAUGUCAGUCCCACUCCAGCGUUCGGAUCGGGUGUCUGCUUGUGUGAAAAAAAGCUCACUAAACUGAGUUUGGUGCAACUGUUAGUUUAUAACGCUUUGAAUGAUGGACAUUAUUUACAUCAGUUUGUUCUCCACAAAAUCUCCCACUAUUUUAUUCAGCAUUAGCUUGCUCAACUUUAACAUAACAGUUUACUUAAAAACAUGUUUAAAGUGAUAGUUCCCCUAAAAAUUAAAAUGAAAAUUCUCUUAUAAUUUCUCAUUCUCAAUUUGUUCCAAAGCAAAGGAAGAUAUUUUGAAGAAUGUUGGUAACCAGACAGCUGACGGUAACACUGAUUUCCACAGUAUUUUUUUCCCCAAACUAUAGAAUUGGCAGUGGCUACCAUCAACUGUUUGAUUAUCAAUAUCUUUCUAAAAUAUCUUCUGUGUUCACCAUAAGAAAGAAUCUCGUUGAGUAAAUGAUGAUAGAAUUUUCCUUUUUGGGUGACAUAUUCCUUUAAAUAAAACUGUUAUUUAAUCAUGUUAAAAUGUAUUA